rnacentral:rRNA from 1 species
CCUACGGGAGGCAGCAGUGAGGAAUAUUGGUCAAUGGGCGGGAGCCUGAACCAGCCAAGCCGCGUGAGGGAAGAAGGUACAGCGUAUCGUAAACCUCUUUUGUCAGGGAACAAAGGCGGGGACUAGUCCCCGGAUGAGGGUACCUGAAGAAAAAGCAUCGGCUAACUCCGUGCCAGCAGCCGCGGUAAUACGGAGGAUGCGAGCGUUAUCCGGAUUUAUUGGGUUUAAAGGGUGCGCAGGCGGCCUGUUAAGUCAGCGGUAAAAGCCCGGGGCUCAACCCCGGCGAGCCGUUGAAACUGGCGGGCGGGAGUUGGAGAGAGGUACGCGGAAUGCGCGGUGUAGCGGUGAAAUGCUUAGAUAUCACGAAGAACUCCGAUGGCGAAGGCAGCAUACCGGCGCUCAACUGACGCUGAGGCACGAAAGCGUGGGGAUCGAACAGGAUUAGAUACCCCUGUAGUC